rnacentral:rRNA from 1 species
UACGGAGGGUGCAAGCGUUGCUCGGAAUCACCGGGCGUAAAGCGACCGCAGGCGGUCUGACAAGUCGGAUGUGAAAGCCCUGGGCUCAACUCAGGAACAGCAUUCGAAACUGGCAGACUCGAGUACGGGAGAGGGGGGUGGAAUUCCUGGUGUAGGGGUGAAAUUCGUUGAUAUCAGGAGGAACACCGGCGGCGAAGGCGGCCCCCUGGCCCGCAACUGACGCUCAUGGUCGAAAGCGUGGGGAGCAAACAGG